UCUGCUUUGGAUUUUAGGUUUCGGUCCCGUCGUCAGACGCAAGCUGGAGCUUCGUUUCUCGAAACGAGAGGUAGAACGUUCGACGGCGGAAGGGAAACACGCGAGCUGACUUCUAACGGGGCGCGUGUAUUCCGCGCGAACGGUCGAUUUUUAUUUCCGAUGCGGUGUAACGUCCGUCCGGCUCGGAACCGCUUCGAAGAUCGCUUGCCGAGGAAAUGUAAAAGGGAAGAGGAAGCUACGAGAAACAUUAACUGCUGAUUCCAAUUCCGCUGAGUUACUCCCGCGACGAGUUUGAUGGAUACGUAAGAAAACGUGAAACUGAAAUUGAUACUUUCAGUCAGAGAUACAAAGAUUUGAUCUUUUCGUACUGUUUGUCGUUACAGGCGAAUUUACGAAUAAUUUGGUGCUUGUGCAAAUUUUGGAAAUCAACACUUUGGAAAUAUUUCGAAAUGUUUCGAAUUUUAAAUAAUGAAAUUUUGUAUUUAAAGAAAAGUGGUAGAAGUGAAAGUACGAGUGGAUAAUCUCGAGAAGAUAUAGAAUAGACAAGGAAGCGGCAGAGAGUGGAUGAAACGCUUUAUGAAGUUAUUUCCAGACGUGCGUGGAGUGCAAGAUGGCCAGAGUUAACCGUUAAUUGUACUUGGCAAGAGAGAAGAUUACACAUUAAACUCGAAUUCGGAGUUCCUGAGAGCAAAUUAACCGAGGAAGAAAUUCAAAACACGAAACUGUUGCAUUAUCGCAACGUUGAUCCCCGACUCCUUAUGACAAAGCCAGAGAAGAAGUUUUCAAAGACCUUAAAAGGAUUAAAAGUCCAGAGUUGGAAAGCUAGUUGGAGAACCUUGAAAAUCUUAACAACCGUUCGACAACUCCGAGCUGUCAAAAUCCACCAAAUUCUCCGAGAUCGAAGCUCGAACGAUCGCUUCUACUCGAACGAGACAGCAGGAUGGCGUGCGCUCGAGCAAUUACCGACUGGAAACGAAAGAAAAAGAUAGGAAGGCGAGACGCGUCCCCUGCGCGAAUAAAAUAAUUCCGACCGAAUGCUGAUCAAAACCCCAUCGAUCGUCGAAUUGCAGCCUCUUUCGUUCGUUACGUCGUUAGCGAGAGUGGUGUGUCCGAGCGGAUUCAAUAUCGAUUACAACCAGGAGCCAGAGGCAACCAGGAGUUUCGUAGCCGCGUUCGAUUUACUUUCAAUUCACUGUCCGCUGCGGCUUUGCGACGUUUCUCUGGUAAUUGUUCGCGCGAUUAAUCGCUGUUCCGCGAUAGCCGCUCUUCAUCGAAUUAUCCGAAAAUAAGGCGCGAGUUUCUCUCGCGUAGAUUCGCUUUUCAAAUAUUCUACCGUGGGAUGGGCAAAUUCUGGGAAAGGGCCCAGAACUUUCCUCAGUGCCCACCAAUUGCAACCAGAUGUACCAAGUGCCAUAAACUGUAGAGAAAGUUAGGCCUGGGACUUGGGAUCGUUUUAUGACGAGUACUUCAGGCCUAGCGUUUAAGACACUAAGGUAUGGAUGCGUUUGUAUGUAUGGAUGAAUAACGAAUCUUUGGGCAGAUGAAGAAGGCAGUGAAUGUCGAGAAGCCAGACUGUGAGUAUUGAGAAGCCAGAGAGGAGAGUGAGAAAGAGAAAAGACAGUGAGCUGAGAGUUGCGCGAAAGAGAGAAGAGAGUGAAUUGUGAGUCGCGAGUUUAGUAAUUAAGGAAAUAGUGUUAACCGUCACUUUAUAAUCAUUAUUGAACCAACUUUCUUUUAUUUAACCUAAA